CGGAAAUCCCGGGCUCAGCCAGAGCACGCUGGGAGCUCUGGAGCUCAAUGACCCCUCAGAAGUUGACCUCUGAGGAGGGGCGGGGCUUUCAUCCUCAAGCACUGUCAGUCAGGCCAUAGGCCUGGAAGCCCAAGGGCCAUCAUCUGAGGAAGUUGCUGGAGGAAGCAAUCAGACGCUAAGCUAAGCCCAGAAGCUCUAGGAUGGCUCAGAGAACCACUGUGACACAUGUUGGAGCACCUGCUUGUCAUGCCAGUGCUCCUAACCCGGAGACACCCAGCAGCCGGAGAGAGUGCUCCGGAGGCAACACGUCACACAGCGCCGGGUUGGCACGUGGGGGGUCCUACCUCACCGCGAAGAGGUCCUGUAUGCUGGUCCUACAUGUUAAGAGGAAGAUGCCUACUUUUUUUCAUCCAGUGAUGGGGCAGUAACAGUGGACCUGAGCUUCGAGUCAAUUAACGUGUCUUGGUUACGCUUUUAGAAGUGGUUGCUGAAGAAAAACAGAAGAGCUUUUGAUUUUACCAGUUGAAAGAACUUUUCCAGAAGUCACAAAACGAUUAAAUACU